rnacentral:snRNA from 1 species
GUGCCUGCUUCAGCAGCACAUAUACUAAAAUUGAAAUGAACACAAAGAUGAUUAGCACGGCCCUUGUACAAGGAUGACACGCAAAUUCAUGAAGUGUUCCAUAUUAAA